rnacentral:rRNA from 1 species
AACGAACGCUGGCGGCAGGCUUAACACACGCAAGUCGAACGGGUGUAGCAAUACAUCAGUGGCAGACGGGUGAGUAACACGUGGGAACCUUCCUAGGGGUACGGAACAACUCAGGGAAACUUGAGCUAAUACCGUAUACGUCCGUGAGGAGAAAGAUUUAUCGCCCUUAGACGGGCCCGCGUCGGAUUAGGUAGUUGGUGGGGUAACGGCCUACCAAGCCUACGAUCCGUAGCUGAUCUUAGAGGAUGAUCAGCCACACUGGGACUGAGACACGGCCCAGACUCCUACGGGAGGCAGCAGUGGGGAAUCUUGGACAAUGGGCGCAAGCCUGAUCCAGCCAUGCCGCGUGAGUGAAGAAGGCCUUAGGGUUGUAAAGCUCUUUUACCAGGGACGAUAAUGACGGUACCUGGAGAAUAAGCCCCGGCAAACUUCGUGCCAGCAGCCGCAGUAAAAC